GUGUGUGUAGCUCGAGUGGCAGAGCACGACACUUCCAAUGUCGCCCGUGCGGGUUCGAGCCCCGUCACACACU
rnacentral:tRNA from 1 species